rnacentral:rRNA from 1 species
GACGAACGCUGGCGGCGUGCCUAAUACAUGCAAGUCGAGCGAAGCGGCGGUUGGGUGAGUAACGCGUGGGUAACCUGCCCUUAAGUCUGGGAUACCAUUUGGAACCAGAUGCUAAUACCGGAUACUAAAGGAUGGAGCUGCGUGGCAUUAGCUAGUUGGUAAGGUAACGGCUUACCAAGGCGAUGAUGCAUAGCCGAGUUGAGAGACUGAUCGGCCACAGUGGGACUGAGACACGGCCCAAACGCCUACGGGAGGCAGCAGUAGGGAAUCUUCCACAAUGGACGAAAGUCUGAUGGAGCAACGCCGCGUGAGUGAAGAAGGUUUUCGGAUCGUAAAGCUCUGUUGUUGGUGAAGCGGUAAUCAACCAGAAAGUCACGGCUAACUACGUGCCAGCAGCCGCGGUAAUUC